rnacentral:tRNA from 2 species
AGGAUUAUAGUUUAAAAAAAACAUUUGAUUUGCACUCAAAAAAUAUUAAAAAUAAUUUAUCUU